GUCAGUUGACCCUUUUAGGAGUUAUUGCCCUUUAUAGUCAAUUUUUAACCAUUUUUCAUAAAUCUAAGUAAUCUUUUACAAAAUCUCCACUGAAACUACUAGGCCACAAUCAUCUUUGGGGUAUCUAGUUUGAAAAAUGUGUCCGAUGACCUGGCCAUUCAACCAAGAUGGCCGCCACGGCUAAAAAUAGAACAUAGGGUUAAAAUGCAGUUUUUGGCUUAUAACUAUGAAACCAAAGCAUCUAGAUCAAAUCUGAC
rnacentral:lncRNA from 1 species